GUCGAACGAAACUUCUUUAUCACCGAGUGCUUGCACUCACCGAUAAAGAGUUGAGUGGCGAACGGGUGAGUAACACGUGGGCAACCUGCCCAAAAGAGGGGGAUAACACUUGGAAACAGGUGCUAAUACCGCAUAACCAUAGUUACCGCAUGGUAACUAUGUAAAAGGUGGCUAUGCUACCGCUUUUGGAUGGGCCCGCGGCGCAUUAGCUAGUUGGUGGGGUAAAGGCUUACCAAGGCAAUGAUGCGUAGCCGAACUGAGAGGUUGAUCGGCCACAUUGGGACUGAGACACGGCCCAAACUCCUACGGGAGGCAGCAGUAGGGAAUCUUCCACAAUGGGCGAAAGCCUGAUGGAGCAACGCCGCGUGGGUGAAGAAGGUCUUCGGAUCGUAAAACCCUGUUGUUAGAGAAGAAAGUGCGUGAGAGUAACUGUUCACGUUUCGACGGUAUCUAACCAGAAAGCCACGGCUAACUACGUGCCAGCAGCCGCGGUAAUACGUAGGUGGCAAGCGUUAUCCGGAUUUAUUGGGCGUAAAGGGAACGCAGGCGGUCUUUUAAGUCUGAUGUGAAAGCCUUCGGCUUAACCGGAGUAGUGCAUUGGAAACUGGGAGACUUGAGUGCAGAAGAGGAGAGUGGAACUCCAUGUGUAGCGGUGAAAUGCGUAGAUAUAUGGAAGAACACCAGUGGCGAAAGCGGCUCUCUGGUCUGUAACUGACGCUGAGGUUCGAAAGCGUGUGUAGCAAACAGGAUU
rnacentral:rRNA from 1 species